CGUGUGCGCGUGUUUCCACCUUAUUUUGAAUGCUGUCCCUGAGAGAGAGAGAGAGAGAGAGAGAGAGAGUCAUGUGUAGUAGAAUGUGUCAGGGAGGGGGUAGAAAUACAAACGUGGCUGCAUAGAAAUCUGUGUGACUACAAACACACUUGUUCUCUGUCGUCCAGCGAGGAAGGGAAAGAGAGACACGUCGUCGUCGUACGAGAGAGAGAGAGAGAGAGAGAGAGAGAGUCAUGUGUGUAGAAUGUGUCAGAGGGGGUGAAAUCAAACUGGCUGCAUGAAAUCUGUGUGACUCAAACACACUGUUCUCUGUGUCCAGCGAGAGGGAAAGAGAGACAGAACCUAUUAGAAUGAGCAUAGAAGACAAACAGGAUGUGGGCAGGUGUACUCUGUUUGCUUAACCGUUUUUGUCUUCUGGAAGUGCCAGUGACACGUCAUUCUGAAGCAAGGGCAAUCACGUUUAACCACAGUCUCAGGAAAAAAGAAAACUAGAAAACUAUCAGGCCCCUGCAACGUUCUCAG
rnacentral:lncRNA from 1 species